AGUACCGGCAGUGGGCCACCUGUGGAUCCAUGUGCCUGGCGAGACAAAGAAGAUAAAUCCAAUAUUCCCCAAUUAACCAAUCUUACCAAGUUGAAGAAAAAUCCACCUUGCUGGGAGCUGUCAAGUGUUGGAAGGCAAUGUCUCCAAGUCUUGAACGACAAAUAAGCUUUCCAGUGUGUGGAACCAUCUUCUCCAACAAAGGCCCCAGCUCCUUUCUUAAAGUUUGUACUAAAGCCCGGAACUGUUGGAAAUAGCAACUUCUUAAACCUCUCACUGUUUGAUUUAUUAAUUUAUAUAUUUGCUAACCUGUAUUCUACAUGUAUGUUGAUUUGCCAGUUUGACUUACCUCUUUGGUGUGGGAGGAGCUAUAAACAUGUGAUUGUACUGAGCAUGUUCAGACGCAAGACUCCAUUUUGUGUUCAGUUCUGUCCUUCAUCUCAGUGGAGGAGAUGCCUGUCUGGUUGGACUUCAGUAGAGAAGAAUGAUUACGGACUUCAGGAGAAGUUUGCCGUUUUGCAAAUAUUUGGCCAUCCUUCACUGCCAUGACAACGGAGCCUUUUCGGGGACGUCGGAAGCUGCCUUCAUGAGCCUUCGUCCAGACAUGCGCCGGAUCGAGAUUGACGAGGAAAGCAUCCAGCGCCAGGAUUUUCCUCCUCCUCCUGGACUCUUCCGCAUGAUCAUUUAUUUAUCUAGUCUUUGAUUUUACAGUUAGAGGAGUUAAUCGUCAAUACUUCCCUUAGGUUCCUUAGAAAUAUAGUUAGUGAUUUGCUGUGCAUCUACACUGUGGAACUGAUGUGGUUUGACACCACUUCAUUUGCUUUGGUUCAGUGCCGCAGAAUCCUGAGAUUUGUAAUUUGGUGAAGCACCAGAACUCUAAAAUUACAGCUCCCCAAAUUUCAUAGCAUUGAGUCAGGGCAGUUAAAGUCAUAUUGGACUGUAUAGAUGCAUCCUUGAUUUGUGGAGGAAUCAAGGUAAAGGGACAUCUCCAGAAGAACGUGGAGAAUCUGCAAGCCAUUUGCUCUUCCAACCUAAACCCUUUCGAUAUGAAACACCUUGGGCUUCAUACCACGUUCAAGUCUAUGCCUAUGACCUCUGGAAAAGUCUUGUGUUCAUGUUUCUUGGAUUCAUGUUUUGGAAGAAGUCGCUGUGUUCCUGUUUUUGGAUUUAUGCCUAUGCUUUGAUUCCUGGUUUUUCCAUGUACCUUGUCACUUAUAGGCAGAACUUUGAUGUUUGAAAUAUUGCUUUUUGAAAGCUUUUUCCUAUUGCUUUUUGGACGUUGCUUUUAAUAUAGCCUUUUACCUUUUUGUAGGAGCCCCCGGUGGUGCAGUGAGUUAAACUGCCAAGCUGCUGAACUUUCUGAUUGAAAGGCUGGCGGUUCGAAUCCAGGGAGCGGAGUGAGCACCUGCUAUUAACCCUAGCUUCUGUCAACCUAGCAGUUCGAAAAUAUGCAAAUGUGAGUAGAUCAAUAGGUACCGCUCCAGCGGGAAAGUAUGUCAGGGUGAGGUUAAAAAAAAAUCAUCAGCUCUGCACUACCUUGAUUUAUUGUUGAUCCAGACCUCUCACCAAUACAUCCUCAGUCAGACUGCUUGCCAUUCGGAAAAGCAGCACCGACAAAUGACACCUCAAUCGUUAAUCAGAUGAACGCAGCAGUUCUUAGACUUUAUUCUAUAUAUACAAGUUAUUUACAAGCUGCAAAGUCCAUCACUCAUUGGACUCAUGCUCUCUUCUUGCCAAUCAGCGAAGCACACACACACUGCUGCUAACAGCACAUUCCACAGCAGAAAGAUGAAUGUCCUCUCAGACCGGAAGUCAUGACCUAUUGGCUCGGCAGGCUAUCACUCAAACUGGCCUGCCGUUAACACUUUUUUUCGUGUUAGGAGCAACCAGAGUUUUAUUUAUUUAUUUAUCACAUGCAUUUAUGCCCCGCACUUCUCCCUGAGGGGACUCAGAGAGUUGCUUCUGGAGUGAGAGAAUUGGCCGUCUGCAAGGACGUUGCCCAGGGGACACCCGGAUGUUUUGAUGUUUUUACCAUCCUUGUGGGAGGCUUCUCUCAUGUCCCUGCAUGGAGCUGGAGCUGAUAGAGGGAGCUCAUCUGCGCUUUCCCCGGGUGGGAUUCAAACCUGGCAGCCUUCAGGUUAGCAACCCAAUCUUCAAGUCACAAGGCUUCUAUCCCCUAGGCCACCGGAGGCUCCUAACCGUUAACACUUAAGUUGCUGGAAUACAUGUCCGGUAUACACAGUUGCAAACAGUAAAAACACUUGAUUCAUCAUUUCACUCUUACACUCAAAAAUACUCAACAAGGUAAUGGCACUCCAUGCAGUUAUGCCAAUGGCCACAUGACCUUGGAGGUGUCCACGGACAACGCCGGCUCUUUGACUUAGAAAUGGAGAUGAGCACCAACCCCCAGAGUCGGGAACGACUGGACUUCAUGUCAGGGGAAAACCUUUACCUUUACCGUACUUUUUUAUAACUGCACUAGCUGUGCCCAGCCAUGCGUUGCUGUGGCGUUGUCUGGUGGUGUUGGUGAGAAAUUGUUGAGGUAGUGGUGGUAUUGAAUGUAUGUUGUAUGGUUGUCUUUAUGUUUAGUAUGCACACUGAAGUGGAUUAUAUGGCAGUGUGGACUCAAGAUAAUCCAGUUCAAAGCAGAUAAUAUAAGAUUCUAAAUGGGUUGUAUAGCUGUUUGGAAGGGCCUUGAGUCUACACUGCCAUAUAAUCCAGUUAAAAUCUCAUAAUCUGUGGAAGAGGCCUAAGUGAGGCCUAACUGUGCCUGUCCCCUGGGCUGAGGAGGUUGCUAGGAGACCAAGUGGGUGGAACUUAGCCUUCAAACUGGCAGCAAUUGGAUAAAAACAAUUAUUGCUCUCCCUCUAAUUAGGACUUUAUUUUUCUUUUCUUUUUGUUGUAUCAACCUAGAGCCGUGAAUGAUGGGUUGUGUUGUCAAAUUUCGAGGUUGGGGGGCCUGUAGUUUUGUUGUUUUGUCCGCUGCCCUGAUGCCAUCAUUCUUUUAUAUAUAUAGAUUUUUCAAUAAACUGUUUAGUUCAUACAACUGGACUCUUGCGUGGUGUUGGGUGCAAAGGCGACUUUAGGCUGGAGUGCAACAGGUGGAAGCUCCUUCUUUGGAGGCUUUACAACAGAGGCUGGAUGGC
ensembl:lncRNA